rnacentral:rRNA from 1 species
AGUGAACGCUGGCGGCGUGCUUCACACAUGCAAGUCGAACGAGAACGGAUUAUAGCUUGCUAUAAUUGUCAGCUAAGUGGCGCACGGGUGAGUAAUGUAUAGGUAAUCUGCCGCUUACUAAGGGAUAACAAAUGUAAACGUUUGCUAAUACCUUAUACUUCUUAUUAACAGAAGUUAAUAAGGGAAAGAUUUAUUGGUAAGAGAUUAGCCUGUAUUGUAUAGUUAGUUGGUGGGGUAAUGGCUUACCAAGACUAUGACACAUAACUGUUUUGAGAAGAUGAUCAGUCACACUGGAACUGCGACACGGUCCAGACUCCUACGGGAGGCAGCAGUGGGGAAUAUUGCACAAUGGACGAAAGUCUGAUGCAGCAACGCCGCGUGGAGGAUGACACAUUUCGGUGCGUAAACUCCUUUUAUAUGAGAAGAUAAUGACGGUAUUAUAUGAAUAAGCACCGGCUAACUCCGUGCCAGCAGCCGCGGUAA